rnacentral:lncRNA from 1 species
CUUAGAGAAGAAGACUUGCCUCUUUCCAAAUCUUGCUCUUUCCCACCGAUAGUUCACCCCAAAAGCAUUCAACCUACAGACGAAAAUCACUAAAACCCACACUGAAGCAAACGCAGAUUCAAUAUUUCGAUGGAAACCCUUAACCCGCACAACUAGCAAAUGAUACUUCAGUUCCAUAAAGGUCUACACAACACGUUUCCAUGGAAGAGUCGUCAACAACUCCGCCCCCAUAUUGCGUCCACAACCCCGCAUCCAAGCCCACAUCUUCGCCGACCAAAUGGAUCCCGCUGACACACAGGUACUUCAUAUGCCUCCAACAUUUGUCCUACAUUUGCCGACGACGAGGACGUUAUUCCGGUUACACUACCGUGUUAUUUGUUCACUGAAACUGGGAAGUUAAGGGAGGAAAAAAGUUCAGCAGGAUGACGACUUUAAGGAAAAGGAUUCUUUUUUAUAUAAAUGUCCAACCAACCACCAUAAUCGAAGGUGAAGUCCUUUCAAGGGAAGCACUUCGAGAAAAUUCAAUCCUUUCCAUAAUCGAAAAUAUCACGAUUUGAUUAUUGAUUCAAACCAUGACUGAAAGAAGCCCACUAAGAAUUCCAUAUACCCACAUCAAAAACUACUUGUAAUGUAUAGUAGUUGAUCUACAAAUUUGCUAAAGAAAAUAGAAACGGUUCUGCAAGAAUGGGCUUCCGAAUUGAAUGCAUAUCAUUAACCUCUUGGGAUUAAUACCAAUCAGGUUUCCCAACCCCAUACUUAUUCGCUUUAUAUGUAUUACCAUUCUGUUCAAAACAAUAUUUCGAUGUUUUCUCACUUUUAAUGCCCAACUUCACUCUUGGGAUCGAAAUCUUAUGCGCGAUGGAAUGCGUCGGAGACCCAAACAUUUAUUGCAGCGUGUGAAACCGCCAUUGUCGAGGGCCAUCGUAAUGUUCGGUGUUUUACAAAACACAGCUGGGAACGAGUCUCCGCUCUAUUCAACUCAAUCAGCGGGCACAAUUGGAGCAAGCAACAACUGUGCAAUCACUGGAACGCCAUAUGUCAAACCCACAUACAUCUCUCUGAGCUGUUAAAUUGUAGCGGGGUCGAGUACAACCCAUCCACCAAUCAAAUCGUCACAUUGGAGGAAUGGUGGAACCGGAAGAUUAAGGUAACCAUUUCAAUUCGCCCCAUACAUAUCUGACAAUGUUGCACCGACUGUCCCAUACUUUGUUAUGUACUGUCAUUCAUAUUCAACCUAGUGGCCUCAUUUUCUCUCUCUCUCUCUCUCUCUCUUUUUUUUUUUAUCCAGGUAUCCCAGCUUCGCCAGACUAAAUCCUGAACCUCUAGCCACCGGCCCCUCGGUGACUCGAGGAGGUAAAUCGCAGGUUAUGCUCUUAUUGGCCCCUAGGUUCCCACUUGGUUUAUACUCCUGGCCCCAAGAGAAUCCUCCUCACUGCGUUGAUCAGGAAUCGAACUCUCCACGUUGAGAUUGCAAGCCCACCAUAGUGAUUGUUCCACCAACUCGGAUGUGCCCUGGGGGGCUAGUGGCCUCAUUUUCUAUUUCCAUUUUCUGUUGCUUCCUUUACCAUGGAAACGGGGCAUAUAUACAUUCUGGGUUAGGUAUCGUUGUUGUAAGUGCCAUUAAUUUUUGAUUUUUUCUUUAAGGCUGUCAAGUUGAAUUGUGGAUGGAUUUGGUGUUUAGUGUUCAAUAUCGAUGUGGUGUUAUGUGUUAAUUUGAGAGAGGCAAGUACAUGUUCGAAUUUGGAAUAAAGCACGUCAUUAGAGGAUCUAAAUGACAGCCACCGUUCAUAAUUUACAUUUUGCAAAGUGGGUUGCUAGUAAGAAAGGCAAUAAAAAUCCAGAUUAUUUCCUGCCAUUGGUCCUACUUUUUAUUAUGUCCUUGUCCACUAAGAUAAUUGGUUGUCCAUAUGGGUACAAACUGAGAAGAAAUCUUG